rnacentral:rRNA from 1 species
GACGAACGCUGGCGGCGUGCCUAAUACAUGCAAGUAGAACGCACAGUUUAUACCGUAGCUUGCUACACCAUAGACUGUGAGUUGCGAACGGGUGAGUAACGCGUAGGUAACCUGCCUGGUAGCGGGGGAUAACUAUUGGAAACGAUAGCUAAUACCGCAUAAUAUUAAUUAUUGCAUGAUAAUUAAUUGAAAGGUGCAAUUGCACCACUACCAGAUGGCCCUGCGUUGUAUUAGCUAGUAGGUGAGGUAACGGCGCACCUAGGCGACGAUACAUAGCCGACCUGAGAGGGUGGUCGGCCAGACUGGGACUGAGACACGGCCCAGACGCCUACGGGAGGCAGCAGUAGGGAAUCUUCGGCAAGGGACGAAAGUCUGACCGAGCAACGCCGCGUGAGUGAAGAAGGUUGUCGGAUCGUAAAGCUCUGUUGUAAGAGAAGAACGGGUGUGAGAGUGGAAAGUUCACACUGUGACGGUAACUUACCAGAAAGGGACGGCUAACUACGUG